UCUGACAAUAGGCAAAGAGACACCUUGUUGGUGGUGUUAUUCUUCUAUCAGUCAGGACCAGAGCAGAUGGCAGUCCUUUGUUCAUCCUAGCUUGAUGCCUGGUUCGGUAGCCAAAGCUAUCUUAUACCAAGGACUCAUAA